GGAGAGGUUUACCCAAGGGAAGACCCGCCCUAACUGUGGUGAUGCUAUCUGCUAUCGCAGGACUGGGGGCCAGCCUGAGUACACAGGUCUCUCCGGCUACUGAUUCCUGCUUCUGAAUCUUUAUCUCCAAUAUGGCAGAUGGUAUUUGUCCCCCAGAGAGCUAUCUCCAGAGGAGUUGCUUCUAGGACAGCAGGAGCUGGGAUGCAAUGACCCAGAGAAGGGCUCCAAGGCCGUAAGGUGCAGAAACACUGGACAGGAGGAGUCUAGGCCCCUGAAUGACCUGGAAGAAAGGAGCCUCUCGUGUCGCCUGCCUGGACCCUACUUUGUGACUUAACUAGCAACGACCUUGUAUUCUCUAAAGCUACUGAAAUAUUGAGGUUGCUUGUUAUGGCGAUCACUUUCCCCUGGCUGACUCACCCGUUAAAACUGGAAAGCACGCAUGAAAAGACUCCGUUUGACCUUGAAGAAUAGGCAGGAUAAUGUAUGCAAUUUCCUAAUAAGUUGAGACUGACCUAGGAGGAGAGAACCUGUCUCCUCCAGUUUCCACUGCACUAAACUCUGGUAUAGUAUUGAUCUGUGAGACACCGGAAGCCUUGUGAGAGGAGGCAGAGAGCCUGGUGGCCCCGGCAGCCCAAGAGUGACGGGUAGCAGCGCUGGUGGCCUUGGUUGUCCUGGAUCCAAGAGGAAGUGAGGAAACCCACCAGGGAGCUCAGGACCUACAGGAGUGUCUAUGGCGGCAGAGAAUAAGAAGUAUCAGAGAACAUGGCUUGGCCUUCCUUUGAUAGCAUGCAGGACACUCUAGAGAUUCAUAGCGAUGCCAGGUGUGUCACUAAGACAAAAAGCGAUGACCAAAAUGGAAUCCUUCUGUAAAUGAUUGUGUCUCCCACAUGGGAUCAAUGUGGCUUCUGUUGUGAUUUCUAGAACAACAUUUUCUAUUCAGAGCAGGCACGGUUUCAGGCGUGGGAGGCUGUUCCAGGUCACCCUCUACAGUCACCUUUCUUUGACUUUCCCUGGAGGCAAGCCAAGUUUGGAAGCCAGGGAGUCCUGGGGAUUCUGUACUUUCUACAAUGACUUCAGUGGGUGUUUUGGCAUCCAAGAUACUCAGUCUGCCUGCUAGAGAAACUCACAGGUGUUCUCUACGGCAGAGGCAAAGAUCCUGAUACCUCUGGUGACCGUCUUAAUUCUUUCUUUAAACUGAGAGACAAUCAGCAGGUAGAGGCAGGAGGGUUGACCCACGUUCCUCAAACUCAGUGAAUUCCAGGCCAGCCUGGAUUAGAGUGAGACUUUGUUCCCCCAAAAAGAACAGAUAAAGAAAUAAAUUGAAAAAAAAAGAAAAAGAAAAAGGAAGGUGGACUAAAUUUGAGACAUCUGAUUCUGAGCUGUAGUUCUUGUGUUCAAGUGGGGCAAAGAUGUGACAAGCAGACACCUGGAGGGGACAAGGCCAGCGAAAUGGAUGAAAGCUGUAGGGGCCGGGGAGGUUGUGGCCUCUCCACAUCGGCUUCCCUCUGGAGAGCUCUUGCUGGGAUGCUGAGGGUAGAAACUGUCAUACAGAUUAAAACAAAUCUGCUGGGUGUGUGUAUGUAUGCAGGCAUCCAUCGGGAGUAACCGAACAGUUUAAAGCCAAGUUUUACAUUUUCGUUUUUGUGUGUAGUACAUCAAUGCAUGUGAGCAUGUCUGUGACUAUGCAUGUAGAAUGAACCCAGAGCUUGUUUUGGGGUAUCCUCAUCUAUCUAACUCUCCACUUUUUUUUUCUUGAAAUACGGUCUUACUUUGAUUCUUA